GCAGGCUCCUGCCAGACUAGCUCCAACAGGGCAGAGGGGACUCCUGACAGGCUCAGCUGUUACACCUGUGCCAUGGCUGCAACCCUGUGCUCCUCUCGCCCAGGCACGGCGCAGGCUCACCACACAGGGAACACGCCUCUCGCCCAGGCACGGCGCAGGCUCACCACGCAGGAAACACGCCUCUCGCCCAGGCACGGCGCAGGCUCACCACGCAGGGAACACGCCUCUCGCCCAGGCACGGCGCAGGCUCACCACGCAGGGAACACGCCUCUCGCCCAGGCACGGCGCAGGCUCACCACGCAGGGAACACGCCUCUCGCCCAGGCACGGCGCAGGCUCACCACGCAGGGAACACGCCUCUCGCCCAGGCACGGCGCAGGCUCACCACGCAGGGAACACGCCUCUCGCCCAGGCACGGCGCAGGCUCACCACGCAGGGAACACGCCUCUCGCCCAGGCACGGCGCAGGCUCACCACGCAGGGAACAUGCCUCUCGCCCACAGCGCAGCCUUGAUCUCCCAGGUUCAAGCAAUCCUCCUGCCUCCCAAAGUGUUGGAAUUACAGCUGUAAGCCACUGUGCGCAACCAACCUUUCUUCCUUUUAAGGUUACUAAAAGAGCAUACGGUCUCUGGGUGUUUUCCUGUCACUGAUUCCCACUUUAAUCCACUGUUGAGAUGCCUUGAGACUUGCUGUAUGACCCAACGUGGAGUCCACUUUAAUAAAUGCCCACUUGAACAGA